AGCGUUCAGACUGGGCCGCGCGCACCCCCUGGUGGCGGCGGAGAAUUCAGGCGCCGGCGGCCGCGGAGGCAGGAAUGGGGCGGAGCCCGGGUAGAGGUCUGUGCAGAGGUUGUGGCUGCUGGGAACUACCUCGUCUGAAAUCUGAACCUUUUAAAAAUUGUAUCCUGGAGCGCCUGGGUGGCUCAGUCUGUUGAGCUUCCUACUUUUGAUUUUGGCUCAGUGUGAUCUCAUGGUUUGUGAGUUCCAACCCCAUGUCUGGCUCUGCGCUGGCAGCACAGAGCCUGCUUGGCAUUCUCUGUCUCCUCCCCCCCUCUCUCUCAAAUAUAAAUAAUUUUUUAAAAAUAAAAACUGUAUCUUGAUAAAAGGGCAAAGGCCAGAUAAGCCACAA